UCUCUAAACAGACCUCUGUGUGAUCACAGAUAUUACAUUCUUGCAGCAGCUGGCUUGUUUUAUGGCUUGAACUUUUUUCACAUCAGGAAGACUACUGCCUGGCCUUUUCCAGAUAAACAGCUCUGUACCUGGGGUAAAAAUACAAACCUACCAGCUCAGUAGUUACUUAACACUCCUCAGAGAGGAACCAAAUGGGCCCUGCUUGGACACCGUGAGAAGUCUGGAUCUUGGGAGCUGAACCAACAAGGGGCGCUGUAUUGUGCUCAGAGUACUAACCGUAAGAGGAGCCCGAUCUUGAAUAUGAGCCAAGUCUGCAGACAGCACCCAAAGUCCAGAUUCCUUUAAGUCACUCAGUCUUCAAAACCAAAGGCCAGAGGUGAAAAUGGUUAAUUGUGAAAAGUAUGGGAAAGUCAUACCAGCAAGUGCUGUUAUAUUUGGGAUGGCGGUAGAAUGUGCAGAGAUAAGAAGACAUCAUAGCAACCCAGCCAACCUAUCAUCCAGUCUUGAGAGAGUUAGAUGCCAAUCCACUGUGUCCUUCAACCUUGGGGAACACAUAUCAGACUCCUGCUGGUCCAGUUAAAGGCCUGGCUUAAGAUGAGAGGCAGGCAUCCUUUAGAACCUGCCUUUGCAGAUGGUAUAGACUCUGAGUAGAGCUCUCCUGAGAAUUCCUCCUAAGAAGUUGUACUUCCAUGGCCAACAGACACAUGAAGAGAUGCUCAACAUCACUCAUCAUCUGGGAUCUACAAAUCAAAACUACAAUGAGAUAUCACCUCACAC